UGCAAGUCGCACGAGAAAGUGGAGCAAUCCAUGAGUACAGUGGCGUACGGGUGAGUAACACGUGGAUCAUCUACCUUCUAGUGGGGAAUACCUCCGGGAAACUGGAGACAAUACCGCAUAAGCUCGUAAGAGGAAAGCAGCAAUGCGCUGGAAGAGGAGUCCGCGGCUGAUUAGCUAGUUGGCGGGGUAAUGGCCCACCAAGGCGAAGAUCGGUAGCCGGCCUGAGAGGGCACACGGCCACACUGGCACUGAAACACGGGCCAGACUCCUACGGGAGGCAGCAGUGGGGAAUCUUGCACAAUGGAGGAAACUCUGAUGCAGCGACGCCGCGUGAGCGAUGAAGCCCUUCGGGGUGUAGAGCUCUUUCGACGGGAACGAUAAUGACGGUACCCGAAGAAGAAGCUGCGGCUAACUACGUGCCAGCAGCCGCGGUAAUACGUAGGCAGCAAGCGUUGUUCGGAAUUACUGGGCGUAAAGAGUGUGUAGGCGGUGUUCUAAGUCUGUUGUGAAAUCUCCCGGCUUAACUGGGAGGGUGCGGCGGAAACUGGAAUGCUAGAGGAUGGGAGAGGUAAGCGGAAUUCCUGGUGUAGCGGUGAAAUGCGUAGAUAUCAGGAGGAACACCUGUGGUGUAGACAGCUUACUGGACCAUUUCUGACGCUGAGACACGAAAGCGUGGGUAGCAAACAGGAUUAGAUACCCUGGUAGUCCACGCCCUAAACGAUGCAUACUUGGUGUGAGCGAUUCAUUUCGUUCGUGCCGGAGCUAACGCGUUAAGUAUGCCGCCUGGGGAGUACGGUCGCAAGGCUG
rnacentral:rRNA from 1 species